AUUGAACGCUGGCGGCAUGCCUUACACAUGCAAGUCGAACGGUAACAGGUCUUCGGAUGCUGACGAGUGGCGAACGGGUGAGUAAUACAUCGGAACGUGCCCGAUCGUGGGGGAUAACGGAGCGAAAGCUUUGCUAAUACCGCAUACGAUCUACGGAUGAAAGCAGGGGACCGCAAGGCCUUGCGCGGACGGAGCGGCCGAUGGCAGAUUAGGUAGUUGGCGGGAUAAAAGCUUACCAAGCCGACGAUCUGUAGCUGGUCUGAGAGGACGACCAGCCACACUGGGACUGAGACACGGCCCAGACUCCUACGGGAGGCAGCAGUGGGGAAUUUUGGACAAUGGGCGAAAGCCUGAUCCAGCCAUGCCGCGUGCAGGAUGAAGGCCUUUGGGUUGUAAACUGCUUUUGUACGGAACGAAAAGACUCCUUCUAAUAAAGGGGGU
rnacentral:rRNA from 1 species